GGAUGUGAGGGUGAUCUUACUGCGAUAUUUGUCACCCCAUUGAUUGCCAGGGUUGAUUUGGCUUAUCUGGCUGGCUAUUUGGGUGUUCCCUUCCUCCCUCACUGCUCCAUAUGUGUCCCUCCCAAAGCUGUGGGUUUGGUCAGAGGACAGACUGCUUUCCAUGAAUAGAGACAGACCAGUCUUCGGUCGAGGGCAUACAAGUAGCUGCACUCCCCUGCUAGAAUCUCCAAAAAAAGCUCUCAAGAUAUGAGUGAUUUUUGAGGACGGUGAGAAAGAUCUUGGAAAUAGGGAAAG
ensembl:misc_RNA 7SK 7SK RNA